rnacentral:rRNA from 1 species
UACGUAGGGUGCGAGCGUUAAUCGGAAUUACUGGGCGUAAAGGGCGCGUAGGCGGCCUUCUAAGUCGAACGUGAAAUCCCCGGGCUCAACCCGGGAACUGCGUCCGAUACUGGAAGGCUUGAAUCCGGGAGAGGGAUGCGGAAUUCCAGGUGUAGCGGUGAAAUGCGUAGAUAUCUGGAGGAACACCGGUGGCGAAGGCGGCAUCCUGGACCGGCAUUGACGCUGAGGCGCGGAAAGCGUGGGGAGCAAACAGG